GAUAAACGCUGGCGGCGUGCAUUAUGCAUGCAAGUCGAACGGUGCCCGCAAGGGUACAGUGGCAAACGGGUGAGUAACACAUAAGUAACCUGUCCUCGAGUGGGGAAUAACCCGCCGAAAGGCGGACUAAUACCGCAUACGAUAGCUUCUCACAAGUGAAGUUAUGAAAGCCGCAAGGCGCUGGAGGAGGGGCUUGUGCCCGAUUAGCUAGUUGGUGGGGUAACGGCCUACCAAGGCUCUGAUCGGUAGCUGGUCUGAGAGGAUGGUCAGCCACACUGGGACUGAGACACGGCCCAGACUCCUACGGGAGGCAG
rnacentral:rRNA from 1 species